GACGAACGCUGGCGGCGUGCUUAACACAUGCAAGUCGAACGAAGUGGCGAACGGGGGAGGAACGAGUAAUCAACCUGCCCUUCAGAGGGGGACAACAGUUGGACACGACUGCUCAUACCGCAUACUGAAGGAGGGGAUUGCGUCUGAUUAGCUGGUUGGAGGGGUAACGGCCCACCAAGGCGAUGAUCAGUAGCCGGUCUGAGAGGAUGAACGGCCAAAUUGGGACUGAGACACGGCCCAGACUCCUACGGGAGGCAGCAGUGGGGAAUCUUCCGCAAUGGACGAAAGUCUGACGGAGCAACGCCCGUUGAGUGAUGACGGCCUUCGGGUUGUAAAGCUCUUUUCAUCGUUACGCGGUACCGGAAUAGAACGCCACGGCUAACUACGUGCCAGCAGCCGCGGUCCUUC
rnacentral:rRNA from 1 species